rnacentral:hammerhead_ribozyme from 1 species
CGGCGAAACGGUCGCCCAACGGCGACCGUCGCGCAUGACUGGCCCCCUGCGCCUGAUGAGCUGGCCACU